rnacentral:tRNA from 1 species
AGGACCGUAGCUCAGUUGGUUAGAGCGCUACCUUGACAUGGUAGAGGUCGGCGGUUCAAAUCCGCCCGGUCCUACCA